GCGGGCAUAGCUCAGUUGGUAGAGCAUCAGCUUCCCAAGCUGAGGGUCGCGGGUCCGAGCCCCGUUGCCCGCUCCA
rnacentral:tRNA from 1 species